UUAAGUAAAUAGAAAUCUAUGGAAUUUAAACACAAGGUUUAUGACCACAAAAGGAAGGUUGGAAUUGAUUUUGGAAGUUUUGGUCCCAACAGUUUAGGAAUUAGGGGGCCAAAAAGGGCCAAAAUAAGCAUUUUCUUGGUUUUCGCACUAUAACUUUAGUUUAAGUAAAUAGAAAUCAAUGAAAUUUAAACACAAGGUUUAUGAACACA
rnacentral:lncRNA from 1 species